UACAGAGGUCCCGAGCGUUGUUCGGAUUCACUGGGCGUAAAGGGUGCGUAGGUGGCGAGGGAAGUCGGAUGUGAAAGCUCGGAGCUCAACUCCGAAAUGGCAUUGGAAACUACCUUGCUCGAGGGUUGGAGGGGGGACUGGAAUACUUGGUGUAGCAGUGAAAUGCGUAGAUAUCAAGUGGAACACCAGUGGCGAAGGCGAGUCCCUGGACAACUCCUGACACUGAGGCACGAAAGCUAGGGGAGCAAACAGG
rnacentral:rRNA from 1 species